UACAGAGGCCUCGAGCGUUAGGCGGAAUCACUGGGCUUAAAGCGUGUGUAGGCGGGUCGUUAAGUACCUUGUGAAAUCCCACGGCUCAACCGUGGAACUGCUUGGUAUACUGGCGAUCUUGUGCCACGUAGGGGCGAGCGGAACAGAUGGUGUAGCGGUGAAAUGCGUAGAUAUCAGCUGGAACGCCAAUGGUGAAAGCAGCUCGCUGGGGGUGUGCAGACGCUGAGGCACGAAAGCCAGGGGAGCGAACGGG
rnacentral:rRNA from 1 species